CCCAGACUCCUACGGGAGGCAGCAGUGGGGAAUAUUGCACAAUGGGGGAAACCCUGAUGCAGCGACGCCGCGUGAGUGAAGAAGUAUUUCGGUAUGUAAAGCUCUAUCAGCAGGAAAGAAAAUGACGGUACCUGACUAAGAAGCCCCGGCUAACUACGUGCCAGCAGCCGCGGUAAUACGUAGGGGGCAAGCGUUAUCCGGAUUUACUGGGUGUAAAGGGAGCGUAGACGGUGAAGCAAGUCUGAAGUGAAAGGCGGGGGCUCAACCCCCGGACUGCUUUUGAAACUGUUUGACUGGAGUGCAGGAGAGGUAAGUGGAAUUCCUAGUGUAGCGGUGAAAUGCGUAGAUAUUAGGAGGAACUCCAGUGGCGUAGGCGGC
rnacentral:rRNA from 1 species